GAACGGCGGUUUAUUUAAAACCGUUUCCGUCGGCCAUGUUGCCGCCACUAUGUUUAUUUGCUGACUCUGCCGCUGCUCGGGCAAAUGACACGUUAACAGGCGAGUUUUCUCUGUCCUCGCCACUGCCGUUGCUAGUAUUUCCGGACGUUCGUCGGUUUUGUCGUGCGCCGUCAUUGCAUUUGAAGCAGAGUUUUCCUCUCUGCCGGUGGCCUCGGACCUUCAGCACCUCUUCCAAAAAACAACAACAACAACGCUGGGAAGCUGGGAAUAACCGUUUCACUCCACCAAGCUAAACAGACAAAGUGGCAUUUCCUGACUGUUCCCAUCCCCGUCUGAGUUAUCUGACACCCAAAAAUACGGUUACGGGGAAGCAGGGAGGCGAGGCACCACAGCCUUAUCCCGAUUCCUCCGUUGUUGGAAUAGCAUCUGCACUGCAACUUUCUGACAAGAGCAAAGUGUUCACCAGUGGAUAUGGAUCACUGUGGGGGCACUGUGAUUUACAGAUAGCACCUUGUCUCAUCUGCUGGCAGGCCAUCAUUACGACAAGCAGAUAGGUGCUGUGGACAAAAAGACCUUUUGGAAAAUGUCAGCAACAGAGCCCUAAAUUUCCUCCAUUCACUCUUUUCCCUAUAAUGCUUCUAACUCUAAACUCCUUAAUAUUUUUUAUUAUUAUUAUUAUUAUUACCCUAUGUUUAGUAUCUAAGUACGGUGUCAGAUUUCAGAGCAUGUGUAUUUUCUUUUCUUAUGUGACUUACCUGAAGAUCGAAUGUAAAAGAAAAAAAAACACCAGCUUUAUAUUUCACCCAUCUUCGCAACAACAGCUAAAACACGUACAAACAAGAAAUAAAACAACAACAACAAAAAAAUCUACAAAAAAACACCAGCGUCUGCAGCAGCUCUCCUUCUCCAUUCCAUUUCACUGGAGCCAGCUUUACUGUCUUAAUACUCUUAGCCCCUCAGUUGGCAUGUUUUCCAUGAACCGGCUGCAUUUUCAGAUUUGUAAAAUCCGUCAAAAUGCCUGUAAUGAAUAUUUCUACAGCCCUGAGUGUAUUUAAUGUGCUGUUUGACCAGCCCAGUAGGAAACGUUUACAGAUCUGGCAAAAGAACCAGAUCAUCAUUGCCCAGAGGCCUGAGACAGUGUGGAAACAGUAUGAAACAGGUGAUUUUCAUUUAAACACAAACUUCUGGCAGAUUGUCUUUCAUCAAAAGAAUGAGCAAUGAAAUAAACAUUUACUAUUUGGAUGUGUUCUUAAAUUCUAAUUAACUUCCUUCCUGUGCAUGGGUCUACAUGUCAUGUAUAUUUCUAUUUUUCUAUUAUUUUCAAAAGUGAAACUAUUAGUACAGUUUUUUGUGAUGGAUUAAAUGUCAUCCUGUGAGACAAGUCCUUGUAACGCACUCAACAAUUACAUUCUACGGUCUGUCUGUUUGUCUGUAGUCUUAAACAGCUUUUGCUGAAAAAAGAGACUACAUAUUAAAUAAACUCCUGCAUCUUAUUGCUGCCCAAGAAUAAAAUAUUGUCCUUUCCAUCAUUUUUUUUUUCAUGUUCAAUUUGAGAGGUAAAUGAAUAUUUCAAAGUGAGAAGUUAUAGAAAAGUUUUAACAUUUAAACUAUGUAUUAAUUUCAAGGCCUAAAUGUGCCCUCAAUUAUUUUACCAUUGCCCUUAAGUAAUUGAUUUUGGGUAGAGAAGGAGAGAGGUGGGGGGAUGAUCUGUGUUGAUGCGCAAGAACUGCAAAGCCAACAAAUGAAAAAUUACUGACAGCAUAAUUGUUUGAGUGAUAUAACCUUGCUGUAUUGUUUGUUUGUUUUUUUCCCUCCCCCAAUGCAUUUGGCUAACAUCAAAGUUGGGCCCACAAUAAC